UCGCCUGUCGGGAUAAAACUCGCGGGGUGUGCUCGCUUCCAAAUCAGCCCGGGGGUUUGCCUGCAGAAAUAUGCUCGUAAAUCAGUGCGGCUUGCUGUCUGAGGAGGUCACUGUGGUGUUCACGGAAAAUAACAUUGCUGAAGCUGAAAAGAGGACUCGCACUGAGAUAGCAGCCACAGGACACCUGAAUCUUUCAGAGAAAAAGAAUUUAUUGCUCCAUUAGCAGAAGAAAUGAACUUCUUCCUGCCUCGCUCAGCCCUGAAGAUGCUGUCAGGAUUAAGAGGAAGAAGUUGACACUGACCAGACCGAAUCCUGUAUUUGAAUGGAAUUUAUGCAUCAUGUAUGAGGUGUAUGAAUAUGCAACAAGCUAUUGCUUUUAAGGGUUAAUCCUCUGUUAACGUGUGCCCCUUUUCAGGCUUAUGUUGUGCAGAAAAAGGUACCCGGACGUCCAUAACUCUUUGUUUUUAUUGUCUCAUAUUGUCCUAAUCCAAACUCUCCAAAUUAUUAUUACUCUAAUUAUAUUACUAUUUUUAUAACCGUUUUAUUAAUAUUGAACUUUUAAAAUUCUAAAAAAAAAGUGAUUGGCGUUUUUCACACUUGAUAAUAUUUUCAUAAUAGAAGUACAUAAUCAUUCUUACAAAACACAGUAAAAAAGGACUUGAUGUACAUCACUGCAUUUUUUCAGUAUUAAUAGGUUCACUGUCUGUCUAAUAAUGGUCUAGGUCAUGAAUAGUUGCUAUAUGCUUGUAUGUUAUUUUAUAUGUGAUAACAUUCUGUAUUUCAUACAGUAAGAAAACUGUGCAUUGUUCUGUCAUUAAAAGAAAACCACUCCA